UGUCUGAAUCACCAGCCGCCAGAAGCACCCGACCUGCCCGGCCCCCCGCAGGACCAAGGGCUUCACUUGUCCAGGACGAUGGCUGAGGGCAGGGGGGACAUUUGGCCUCUUCUGACGCUUGGGAAGGAGGCUCCCCGACUGGAAUCAACGCCCUGUUCAGAAGGAUGCUGCCAUAGAUCCACGGAGUGCAGAGCCAUGUGGUCUCUGGCUUAUUGAAUAAAAG
rnacentral:lncRNA from 1 species